CCUACGGGAGGCAGCAGUGAGGAAUAUUGGUCAAUGGGCGCGAGCCUGAACCAGCCAAGUAGCGUGAAGGAUGACUGCCCUACGGGUUGUAAACUUCUUUUAUAAAGGAAUAAAGUGAGGCACGUGUGCCUUUUUGUAUGUACUUUAUGAAUAAGGAUCGGCUAACUCCGUGCCAGCAGCCGCGGUAAUACGGAUGGUCCGAGCGUUAUCCGGAUUUAUUGGGUUUAAAUGGAGCGUAGAUGGGUUGUUAAGUCAGUUGUGAAAGUUUGCGGCGCAACCGUAAAAGUGCAAUUGAUACUGGCUGUCUUGAGUACGGUUGAGGUAUGCGGAAUUCGUGGUGUAGCGGUGAAAUGCUUAGAUAUCACGAAGAACUCCGAUUGCGAAGGCAGCAUACUAAACCGCCACUGACAUUGAUGCUCGAAAGUGUGGGUAUCAAACAGGAUUAGAUACCCUAGUAGUC
rnacentral:rRNA from 1 species